CCUACGGGAGGCUGCAGUGAGGAAUAUUGGUCAAUGGGCGCGAGCCUGAACCAGCCAAGUAGCGUGAAGGAUGACUGCCCUACGGGUUGUAAACUUCUGUUAUAAAGGAAUAAAGUGAGGCACGUGUGCCUUUUUGUAUGUACUUUAUGAAUAAGGAUCGGCUAACUCCGUGCCAGCAGCCGCGGUAAUACGGAGGAUCCGAGCGUUAUCCGGAUUUAUUGGGUUUAAAGGGAGCGUAGAUGGGUUGUUAAGUCAGUUGUGAAAGUUUGCGGCUCCACCGUAAAAUUGCAAUUGAUACUGGCAGUCUUGAGUACAGUUGAGGUAGUCGGAAUUCGUGGUGUAGCGGUUCAAUGCUUCGAUCUCAC
rnacentral:rRNA from 1 species